GACGAACGCUGGCGGCGUGCUUAACACAUGCAAGUCGAACGAUGAAGCCGGAGCUUGCUCUGGUGAAUUAGUGGCGAACGGGUGAGUAACACGUGAGUAACCUGCCCUUGACUCUGGGAUAACUGCUAGAAAUGGUAGCUAAUACCGGAUACGACCCUCAGAGGCAUCUCCAGGGGGUGGAAAGAAUUUCGGUCAAGGAUGGACUCGCGGCCUAUCAGCUAGGUGGUGAGGUUACGGCUCACCAAGGCGACGACGGGUAGCCGGCCUGAGAGGGUGAGCGGCCACACUGUGACUGAGACACGGCCCAGACUCCUACGGGAGGCAGCAGUUGGGAAUAUUGCACAAUGGGCGCAAGCCUGAUGCAGCAACGCCGCGUGAGGGAUGACGGCCUUCGGGUUGUAAACCUCUUUUAGUAGGGAAGAAGCGAAAGUGACGGUACCUGCAGAAAAAGCACCGGCUAACUACGUGCCAGCCGCCGCAGUAA
rnacentral:rRNA from 1 species